UGCCAGGUAGCCUAGUGGUUAGAGCUUUGGGCUGCUAACUGAAAGGUUGCUGGAUCAAAUCCAGCUGACAA
rnacentral:tRNA from 1 species